rnacentral:lncRNA from 1 species
UAAUAUCCACUGCUGGAAAGAUGUAGAUACCUCAUCAGAUAUCUCAAAGACAUCUCCAUCUGAAUCGCUGCCGGCAGUCGCUAUAGCAGCCACCGUCCGAUUUUUGAGUUGAGGGCAAUCUCUGGCUAGAUGCCCUAACUCCUCACACCGAUAAUACUUGGUUUUGCUCAAGUCCCUUCUGGACUUAGACCGCCCUCGUUGCGAU